AUAAAUAUGAAGUAUUAUUCAGUUUAUACAACUUCUCCUCCGUGUUAAUAUGGCAUCAAGAGAAAUUUUUUUAUCCUCUUUCCUUUAGUCACGUUCAUUCUUCCACUUUUGAAAUUCUUUCUCGGUUCAUCACAUCUCCAUAGCUGAUAACACUACUCUCUAUUAUGAUUUUGCAACAAAUGCAUCUAAUCCCUAUUAUUUGCACUCUAAUGAAAACCCCUAUUUGGUGCUUAUAACUCCAUUGUUGGAUAGCAAAAAUUACUUUUCCUGGUCGCACACAAUGAAUGUGGCUUUGAUCUCCAAGAACAAAUUGAAGUUUGUCGACGGCUCAUUUCCUCAACCUGCAUCAACAAAUCUUCUACAUGAUCAAUGGAUUAGGUGCAACAACAUGGUCAUUUAUUGGUUGCAGCGAUCGAUCUCGCAAACCAUCAACAAAUCCAUCCUAUGGAUUGAGAAAACAACCACUGUUUGGAAGGUUCUUGAACAAUGAUUCUCGCAAGAUGACACUUUUCAUGUUUUUUAUAUUCAAGACGAUUUAACAAGAUUGCAACAAGAAACCUAUAUGCAUCAAAUUAUUUCACCCAGCUUACUUCCAUGUGGAAAGAAAUAGAAAACUUUCACCCUACUCGUGAUUGUAUUUGCGUCGUUCCGUGCACUUGUGGCGCCUCUACCGAUCUAAAAAAAUACAAAGAAAAAGACAAGGCAAUUAAGUUUCUCAAAGGGUUAAAUGAGUAGUAUUCACGUGUUCGUUCAUAGAUAAUGUUGAUCGAUUCUUUACCUUCUCUUGAUAAGACUUUUUCUCUCAUUCUUGGUCAGGAACGACAACUUCAACCUCCAAUUAUUUCAGAUUCUGUUGAUGAAAAAUCACCCUCUACCUUGCAAGUUUCUCACAAUUUUGGUGGUCGUGGUAAUUCCUCUUCUUCAAAUUGAGGUCGCGGUAGAGGCUUUGGUAGUGGUCAUGGUUCAAAAUUUUGCACCCAUUGCCAAAGAACUAAUCAUACCAUUAUUACAUGUUUUCAAAAGUAUGGUUAUCCCCCUAGAUAUUUCUCUAAAAAUUCAAAACCCUUCAUCCACCUCACAAGCAAUGAUGAGUCCCCUCUGCUAUAAAUUUAGAACACCAGCCCUAUUUAUCUUAUAUACAUAAUCAAUUCAAUCAACUUCUCCAAAUGUUUCAAAGCAAUGUGUUUUCUUCUCCUCAAAUUGAUACACCAACAGCCUCAACAACUUAUGCAGUUUGUUCUCAUCCCUCCAUCAAUUCAAUUUCCAAUCCUAAGAUAGGAUAUUCCCUCAUCUCUUGGAAGUCGAAGAAGAAACCAACAGUCUCUAGAUCGAGUUUUGAAGCUGAAUAUAGAGUGUUAGCUAGCCUAACAUGUGAGUUGUAGUGGCUGGAUUUUUGCUCAAGGACCUUGGUAUCACACUUUCAACACCCGACUCCAUCUUUUGUGGCAGUAAAUCAGUCAUUUACUUGGCACAUAAUCCUACAUGCCACUUAAUUAGAGAGAAGAUCAAUCUUGGACUUGUCAAGCUAUUUUAUGUACCUUCCACUGCUCAAAUUGCAGACCUUUUUACUAAACCACUACAUUACCCUUUAUUUGUUCAUCUGGUUUCCAAGCUUGGACUAUUAGAUAUCCACAUUCCAACUUGUGGGGGAGUAUUACAUAUAAAUGAAUCUAAUAUUACUUAGUCAUUUUAUGUAUUUUUAGUUCAUUUAUUCGAUAGCUUCAGUUUUGACUAACUACCCUUGUUAUUUGAAAGUUAGUUAUCCUUUAUUAGGAAUUUAGUUAGAGUUCAUUUGAGUUUGUUUUAGUUUUCAGAUGUUGAUAUAAAAAUAGAUUCUUUGCCUUUUA